ACGGGAGGCAGCAGUGGGGAAUAUUGGGCAAUGGGCGCAAGCCUGACCCAGCAACGCCGCGUGAAGGAAGAAGGCUUUCGGGUUGUAAACUUCUUUUGUCAGGGAAGAGUAGAAGACUGUACCUGGCGAAUAAGCCACGGCUAACUACGUGCCAGCAGCCGCGGUAAUACGUAGGUGGCAAGCGUUAUCCGGAUUUACUGGGUGUAAAGGGCGCGUAGGCGGGGAUGCAAGUCAGAUGUGAAAUCUAUGGGCUUAACUCAUAAACUGCAUUUGAAACUGUAUCUCUUGAGUGCUGGAGAGGUAGAUGGAAUUCCUUGUGUAGCGGUGAAAUGCGUAGAUAUAAGGAAGAACACCAGUGGCGAAGGCGAUCUACUGGACAGUAACUGACGCUGAGGCGCGAAAGCGUGGGGAGCAAACAGGAUUAGAUACCCUGGUA
rnacentral:rRNA from 1 species